rnacentral:rRNA from 1 species
UACAGAGGGGGCAAGCGUUGUUCGGAAUUACUGGGCGUAAAGGGCGCGUAGGCGGCCUGUUAAGUCGAACGUGAAAUCCCCGGGCUCAACCCGGGAACUGCGUCCGAUACUGGCAGGCUUGAAUCCGGGAGAGGGAUGCGGAAUUCCAGGUGUAGCGGUGAAAUGCGGUAGAUAAUCUGGAGGAACACCGGUGGCGAAGGCGGCGAUGCCUGGACCGGCAUUCGAUGGA